AGUUGAUUUGGGGUGGUACUAUG
rnacentral:miRNA from 1 species